UACCAGCAGCAGCCGCACUCGAGUACCUUCUAGGCUCUCCCCACCCGGCCGCAGUCGGCUGCGAGACGGGCCAUCGCCCGCGCCUCCCACCGUAGCACGCCGCAAUGGAGGCCGAGCGCCCAUGGCGUCACCCGAGGUUACCUUCCAGCCAUCAUUCUCCUUCAAACUCGUCGGUAGCUGGCCUAAUCCGGACGGAUCCGGAUGCCGGCGGCCCAUUCCCGACCUCCCUGCCUCGCCUGGUUCGUCCGCCACUCUGAUGUCGUCGAUCUUGGUCACGGGAUCCAGCGCUACCGAUGGCUGGCCUCCUCCUCGCCUUGAUGUGACGCACCCACACCGGCGCCUCCAACACGAGCAGCAGCAGCGAAUGCCUCGACAAGGGCGUCUCCAGCAUCGUCUUUAUUUUAAUUUUAUUUUAAAGAAGUUUGCCAGAUCCAUGGCAUGGCGAUGAAGUCUGAUUGAUGUCUCGCGAGCGCUCGGUGGCGCUUGAUAUGGUGGAUGCAGAAUAGUAUAGCUCCGUGUAGAGUAGUAGGCCUGAUCUGGAAAAAUAUAAUCUGUAAUUCCAUUUUUUGCUGUGUAUUUCUUACUUUUUUGAUUAAAAUGUUAUUUAUAUGUUAUAUUCUAUCA